rnacentral:lncRNA from 1 species
UUGGAUAUCUACUUCACAAGUCCAUACAUGUGUCCCUUUUUGUGAUUUUAUGACACAUUCAUUAUAAGGGUUAUGAAAGUGAUUUUCUAUCAUAUAGGAAAAUGCUUUCUUAAAUCUUCAACAUUUGAGAUUUAAUUUCCCAAAUAACAUUAUUGAGAUAGCCUUGCUAUAUCAAUAAGUCCAAUUUCAAGUCUAUACUUCAAAAUUGACCGUGUCAUGUUUUGUCAUUUUUCGAGUAACAUCUAUGUUUUAUCAAGUCUAUCAAAUAGACUUUAUUCACAUCUUGUUGCUCAAAAUUAUGACAUCACUCCCACUGGCCUUGUUGUAACUUAGCAUUCAUUCAAAAAACUUAACGAUUAUAUUUUCUUGAUUUGAAUGCAUACUGCUCCCACUAACUUGUCUUGGAUCCAUUGACAAUCAUUGAGAUCCAUUAGCUUAUUGAUGAUGUCUCAACAAUUUUGAGACUAUCAACAACACUAGCUAACACAAGUUAUUUAAACGAAUCAUACACAAAAGAAUUCCUUCUCAAGUAAUUCCAUUUGAAAUGUGUAACUUGCUUUAUCAAGUCUAUUCAUUUAAAUUAUAUGGUGUCAUACACCAUACUUCAAGUUUUAGUCAUACUAAGAUCUUUUAAUGUAGUCAUAUAAGAAUUAUCCAAGUCUUUAGUGGAAGCAUGGCUCCUACUAAGGAUAUAGAAACUCAACCAUUCCUUCUAGGUGGUUGAUAUAAUUCUUUAUCAAAACUACAUAGAGCGUUAUAGUUACAUGAGAUAUUGAAUUUGGAUUGUCUUGUUGUUAAACCAUAUGUUGUGACUCAUUUUGAAACUAUUCCCUUUUGUUUCAUCAACUUGUUCAAAUGCUUUGUUAUUAGCUUGUUCUCAUAAAAGAGAAUGAUGGACAACUCCCAACAUAUAACCAUUUUAUGCUAGGUUGACGAAACCAACAUUCAAAGACUAUUCUCUUUUGUUUCAUCAACUUGUCCAUAUGCUUUGUUAUUAGCUUGUUCUCAUAAAAGAGAAUGAUGGACAACUCCCAACAUAUAACCAUUUUAUGCUAGGUUGACGAAACCAACAUUCAUAGACUAUUCUUUAGAAUGUUACACAACAUGGAAUUUUAACGUUUGAAGAGCUUGAGUCCUUUUAACAAUUAAAAUUACAAACUCUUAAUAAUAGUCAAGUACUAUUAUUCUUUAGACAACUAUAAACCAAUCAUAUUCAAGUUUAUAUCCAUUUUCACACCUCCCACUAUUUCUCAUGACUUUAAUGAGAAAUCAUUUCAUACAUUCAAAAUGUAUAAACGUGGAGUAUAUUGGGUAGAAGACAUUGUGUAGUAGCUUUAAAACAUUUCAAGCUUAUUUGUUUCAAUCUUCACUAAGUUAAUGUCUUGUUAUUUAAGUGACUAAAGUCUUUAAACAUUUUAUAGAUUUAGACACUUCUUUCUUGGUUUAAUCACUAACACAAUUG